UACGUAGGGGGCAAGCGUUGUCCGGAAUCAUUGGGCGUAAAGCGCGUGUAGGCGGUUCGGUAAGUCUGCUGUGAAAGUCCAGGGCUCAACCCUGGGAUGCCGGUGGAUACUGUCGGGCUAGAGUGCGGAAGAGGCGAGUGGAAUUCCCGGUGUAGCGGUGAAAUGCGCAGAUAUCGGGAGGAACAUCAGUUGCGAAGGCGGCCACCUGGACCAGCACUGACACUGAGGCACGAAAGCGUGGGGAGCAAACAGG
rnacentral:rRNA from 1 species